CAGGAUGCUGAAAUGCACUGGGCUCGGGGCAGUGUAUCUGUGAAUACUUUUGAUGGAAAUGGACUUGCGUAGAAAGCAUUGUCUGACUU